CAUCGCUAGCUUUCAUUUUUUUUUCUUUUCAAAAUUUAAUUAUUUACUUAUUUAUACUAAGCAUCUACUUCACUCGAUGAUCUUUUUCUCUGUUUUGUUCGGAAGACUCAUAAUUUUCUAUUAAUAGGGUAACCUGUAACAUUGAAUUUGGUCUUAUUUUUUGAGUUAUUAUUAUACUUAUCAUCAAUCUUUUAAAUGGAUACGAGAAAGGAAGCAGAUUUGCAUUUUUUGUUC